rnacentral:rRNA from 1 species
AGAGUUUGAUCAUGGCUCAGGAUGAACGCUGGCGGCGUGCCUAACACAUGCAAGUCGAGCGAUUCUCUUCAGAGAAGAGCGGCGGACGGGUGAGUAACGCGUGGGUAACCUGCCCUGUACACACGGAUAACAUACCGAAAGGUAUGCUAAUACGGGAUAACAUAAGAAAUUCGCAUGUUUUUCGUAUCAAAGCUCCGGCGGUACAGGAUGGACCCGCGUCUGAUUAGCUAGUUGGUGAGGUAACGGCUCACCAAGGCGACGAUCAGUAGCCGACCUGAGAGGGUGAUCGGCCACAUUGGAACUGAGACACGGUCCAAACUCCUACGGGAGGCAGCAGUGGGGAAUAUUGCACAAUGGGCGAAAGCCUGAUGCAGCAACGCCGCGUGAGCGAUGAAGGCCUUCGGGUCGUAAAGCUCUGUCCUCAAGGAAGAUAAUGACGGUACUUGAGGAGGAAGCCCCGGCUAACUACGUGCCAGCAGCCGCGGUAAUACGUAGGGGGCUAGCGUUAUCCGGAUUUACUGGGCGUAAAGGGUGCGUAGGCGGUCUUUUAAGUCAGGAGUGAAAGGCUACGGCUCAACCGUAGUAAGCUCUUGAAACUGGAGGACUUGAGUGCAGGAGAGGAGAGUGGAAUUCCUAGUGUAGCGGUGAAAUGCGUAGAUAUUAGGAGGAACACCAGUAGCGAAGGCGGCUCUCUGGACUGUAACUGACGCUGAGGCACGAAAGCGUGGGGAGCAAACAGGAUUAGAUACCCUGGUAGU